rnacentral:lncRNA from 1 species
GCAAGACACUGUUGCCACGGCAAGAAACAAAGAUAUAAAGAAAGACAAAAUAUUGAGCAAAUAAAUCUACAGUCUAAUAAUUACAGCGAUGACACGAAAACAGUUUACCUAUUGGAGGAUAAAAUUAUAUCACCUAUAUCAGAUGUGAGAGUGAUGGAAAAAGUUAUGGGUAUUUGACAAAAGAAUCAAUUAGGAAUAAUCAGAAUCAAAAUAGAAUCAGAAUCUUUUAGUAUACAGUUUAAUUACUAUGAAUGUGUUGGUUAAGACAAAAUCAUGCAGUAAAGUACCCAUUAGAAUAAUGAACAAUACCACGAAUGCUGUAAAACUACAGAAGCAAGAAUCAAUAGGAAAAUUUCUACAGGCAAUGGAGGAAACGAAAGAGCAGGUUUGCAGUGCAAAGUCAAAGAAGAUUGACGCCGCAGAUAUAUCACAGAAGGAAUUCGGAAAUUCUUUUGACUGGGCCAAAAUGGGGAAAGACAAAAAGAAGUCAUU